rnacentral:snRNA from 1 species
GAGCUCAGUUCCCACCAGGGUUC